rnacentral:rRNA from 1 species
GACGAACGCUGGCGGCGUGCUUAACACAUGCAAGUCGAACGGAAAGGCCCUGCUUUUGUGGGGUGCUCGAGUGGCGAACGGGUGAGUAACACGUGAGUAACCUGCCCUUGACUUUGGGAUAACUUCAGGAAACUGGGGCUAAUACCGGAUAGGAGCUCCUGCUGCAUGGUGGGGGUUGGAAAGUUUCGGCGGUUCGGGAUGGACUCGCGGCUUAUCAGCUUGUUGGUGGGGUAGUGGCUUACCAAGGCUUUGACGGGUAGCCGGCCUGAGAGGGUGACCGGCCACAUUGGGACUGAGAUACGGCCCAGACUCCUACGGGAGGCAGCAGUGGGGAAUAUUGCACAAUGGGCGGAAGCCUGAUGCAGCAACGCCGCGUGCGGGAUGACGGCCUUCGGGUUGUAAACCGCUUUCGCCUGUGACGAAGCGUGAGCGACGGUAAUGGGUAAAGAAGCACCGGCUAACUACGUG